rnacentral:rRNA from 1 species
ACUCCUACGGAAGGCAGCAGUGGGGAAUCUUAGACAAUGGGCGCAAGCCUGAUCUAGCCAUGCCGCGUGAGCGAUGAAGGCCUUAGGGUUGUAAAGCUCUUUCGUGGGGGGAAGAUAAUGACUGUACCCCAAGAAGAAGCCCCGGCUAACUCCGUGCCAGCAGCCGCGGUAA